rnacentral:rRNA from 1 species
AUGCGAUUCAUAUUCAAGUGUUUAGCAGCUGUGAUUUGGUGCACAUUAUUUCAAAUGCAUGUCGAGUUCGCUGCCAUAUAUCUGAAAAUCAUGGCCCAAUGCUCUACUCUUGAGUUGAUGAGCUGCAACCUUUCAGAAGCUCUAGCCUUUGACUUCUAUAAUGGCUAUGAGGUACAAGUGCUGUUUGAAUUUGUUCACUUGAUAAAAUGGAAGGUUUCUCCGGUGCUAUCUGCGGUGCAUACAUAUGAAGCCCACAACGACCAGUGUGUAUUUUUCACGGGAUUGCAUAAUUGGGACUCAGAUGAGACGAAGCUUCUUAGUUCAGUUCAGUGUGUUGUACGAACGCUUUGGGAUCCUGGUGGUUCCACAUUUGGUCGGCUUGAGGGCAAGCCGGAUUUUAAGGGGGAGGGAUUGUCAGCAACCUUCCCUACAACUACUACCUGGACUGGAUAG